AAUAUUACUUUAAGUAAUAAAGAGCUUCUAGUUAAAAGCACCGUGGGUGUAAGAGGAGAAGACCAUACUGAAAUGCUGCUAAUAUAGAUCAGGGGAAAGAUUUACAAAACCACAUAACACCUAAGGAAUCACUGACAAAGAGAAUGGGGCAGGAGGCCGCACCAGUUCCUCCAUGAAGGUUCAUUUGACUGAAGUUUGACUGAUUAAGGCUGGGAAGAAGAGGAAUAGAUGGGGUGCCUUGUCAUUUAUCAUCCAAGCUGGGGCGCAUGUGAGAAUGAAAGAGAGCACUAUUAAUGACAUGGGGACAAGAGGUGCAAAUGGAACAACCCUGGAUAAUUUGGGACUUAUGAUCAGCCUACGUACAAGGCCUCCCACCUCCAAUACUGGAUGCAUUUUGGAGUAGCAAGACUGUAUUCGUGUCACCUGUUCCCCAGAUUCUAUCAUAGUAGGAUAAGAAACCAGUGGUCAAAACUGAAAUGAUAAACUCUAAUCUUCUGACAUAAGAAAAAGAAAGUAAAUGAGCAUUAGUCAUAUACUAAGUCUCUGAAUUACAACUGAAGGCAAUGCAAGAUUGAAUCGGAUGAGCGUUUUUAGCACUUGCAGACUCCGGGGUGACGUCUGGGCCCUCCCACGGAUGGGUGCACCAGCUGCUUUUGAGGGUAAUGCACGGGAAGAGGUUUGCAUGAUUUGCCACACGGGGU
rnacentral:lncRNA from 1 species